rnacentral:rRNA from 1 species
AUUGAACGCUGGCGGCAUGCCUUACACAUGCAAGUCGAACGGCAGCACGGGAGCAAUCCUGGUGGCGAGUGGCGAACGGGUGAGUAAUAUAUCGGAACGUGCCCAGUCGUGGGGGAUAACGCAGCGAAAGCUGUGCUAAUACCGCAUACGAUCUCUGGAUGAAAGCGGGGGACUCGCAAGGGCCUCGCGCGAUUGGAGCGGCCGAUAUCAGAUUAGCUAGUUGGUGGGGUAAAGGCUCACCAAGGCGACGAUCUGUAGCUGGUCUGAGAGGACGAACAGCCACAGUGGAACUGAGACACGGUCCAGAAUCCUACGGGAGGCAGCAGUGGGGAAUUUUGGACAAUGGGCGCAAGCCUGAUCCAGCAAUGCCGCGUGCAGGAUGAAGGCCUUCGGGUUGUAAACUGCUUUUGUACGGAACGAAACGGUUUGCCCUAAUACGGUGGACUAAUGACGGUACCGUAAGAAUAAGCACCGGCUAACUACGUGCCAGCAGCCGCGGUAAGAC